CCUUCCUCACUGUUUGGAUAAACUUUACUUUGAGGGUUAACCUUCAGAAGAAUCCACUUCAGAGGUUCACCGGACUAUAAAAGAAAGGACCAGAAAACCCUCAGUUCUCUUUCACCUAACAAGACAAGUGCACCAGAACCUUUGGGCCUCUGGGAAAAAACAUGACCAAGGAAAGU